rnacentral:rRNA from 1 species
UGGAGUAUUGUUGUUUAAUUCGAAGAUACACGAAGAACCUUUACCAGGUCUUGACAUACCAUUGACAGGUGUAGAGAUACACUCUCCUUCGGGCAAUGGAUACAGGUGGUGCAUGGUUGUCGUCAGCUCGUGCCGUGAGGUGUUGGGUUAAGUCCCGCAACGAGCGCAACCCUCAUUGUUAGUUACUACCAUUCAGUUGAGGACUCUAAUGAGACUGCCAACGACAAGUUGGAGGAAGGUGGGGAUGACGUCAAAUCAUCAUGCCCUUUAUGACCUGGGCUACAAACGUACUACAAUGGCCAAUACAAAGAGAUGCGAAGCGGUGACGUGAAGCGAACCUCAGAAAGUUGGUCUCAGUUCAGAUUGAAGUCUGCAACUCGACUUCAUGAAGGCGGAAUCGCUAGUAAUCGCGGGUCAGCAGACCGCGGUGAAUACGUUCCCGGGUUUU